ACGGCUAUGAAAAUUCUACUACUGCUAUUGUAUUGGUAACAGAAAGUUUUGUUAUUUUUUGAAGUAGUUCUGUCUGUAAACAGACAAGAUGAUUCCGAAACUCCUCCAUUUAAUCAAGAGAAUGCAAUGGAGUCCGCUCCACUUCAGAAAAAGGAUGGUCCGGGUAAGCUCAUUGUUUGAACUAUAAUUGUGAUAUUAUGAUCUGGAAUCUUGUUAUGUUAUCCAUGAAAUUUACCUGUUAAAAAUCUCAAUCAACAUGCUGCAUCAAUUGAUAUAGGUGGUGGAGUUGGAACCCCUGCCAUUGUAGGCAUUGAUGCUAUGGAGAACGAACAGAGUUUGCCAUUUGUUAAGAAUCACCUACUUUGUGAAGAUAUCCAUUCUAUGGAAACCUAUAAGUAAAAUGACACAGAAGCCACACUUCGCCCCACUGUACGNNNNNNNNNNNNNNNNNNNNNNNNNNNNNNNNNNNNNNNNNNNNNNNNNNNNNNNNNNNNNNNNNNNNNNNNNNNNNNNNNNNNNNNNNNNNNNNNNNNNNNNNNNNUUUUUUUUUUUUUUUUUUUUUUUCUGGUUUUCAAACUCAGUACUAUAUAUUGAACACAAGCAAAAUGAUGUGGGUAACAUUAAUGAGUGGUGAUGGAUGUAGAUGGUAUUUUUGAAUGAGUGGUUAUUAGGAUUAGAUCUCAUAUCUCAUGUUACUAUUGCUUUUCAUUGGAGAAGUCUCUCAAACUUUCUCUCUCUCUCUUUCUAUAUAUAUAGGCCACACAUAAAAUAAGAUGGUUUGUAGUGGAAGAAGACUGUAUAUAUAUAUACAUACAUAUAUAUAUAUAUAUAUAUGGGUAUAUGAGUAAAGUUCAAUGGAGACCAUUUUAUUGGAGACGGUGGAGACCACUUAUUAUGUUCUGCAAUCAAAACACUAUAAAAUACAUUAUUUUGUGAAGUAUGUUUAACAAAUAUCAUGUAUUCAUUAAAAUUGUUGAAGAUCAUCUAUGUUUCAUAAGUAUAUAAUGUAUGUUCUGCAAACUAAAUAUAUUUCGUAGAAUAUAACAUUUUGUAAUGUUUUACAUGCGAAACUUAUAUGAUAUUCAAGAUUUUAAAGUGAAAUAAUGAUUUUGUACAACAUGAUGUGCAAAACUAUACGUUUUGCAAUGUUUUUAUGCAAUAUUUCACUGGUAGAACAUAAGUGGUCUCCACGGUUUCCAAUAAAAUGGUCUACAUAGAACUUUACUCUGGGGAUAGAUAUAUGGAUGGAUUGAUGGAUUGCCCAAGUACAAACCAAUAUUAAAGUGAAAAUUACAUAUAUAAUGAUCCCCAGAAGUCACCAUCAUGUCUUAAGAAAUCACACAUAAUCCCCCGUGUUUCAAAUUUGAUCUUUCCCUCAAUCAGUGAUUUCUUAUUUUUGAAAUAUGACUUUAUUCUAUUUUUUUCUUCUCCCAACAUUUAAUGUGCAUACCAUAUGUGAUAUAUUUGGAUAUGAUGUAGAAUUUAUUUUUUAUUUAACUUUUAGUUUUUAAUUUUAUGAAGGUUCAUAGUUAAGUAUUACAAACACACACACACAUAUAUACUUUAAUUUAAUUAGUAAUAGACUUUUUUUAUGUAAUGAACAUUAUGUAUUAGUAAUUAUUGAGAAACUUGUUAUUAUAUUUAAUAAGAACUUAAUUUUUAAAAUUAAAUUUUUCUUAAAUUGAAUAUAUUAUAAUUUAAAUGAUAAACUUUCUACAAUAUAAUUUAUUUGUAUCUCAAAAAUAGUAACAUAAUAUUAGUAACCACAACUAACUUAACCUAUAAGGUUAUCUUUAAUUUUUAAAAAAUUAAUUAUUCAUCAUGAACAAAUUUUUUUAUUUUUCUCUAUUUAAUCAAAAUUAAUCUAGAAGUGUUUGUAUACUUUGACACUUAUAUAAAAUAGGUGGUUUAUAAAGCAAAAAAAUUGCUAGUUGUUUGCUUCAACACUUAAUUAAUCUAAUUGGACAUUAUUAAGGGUUUUAUUCCAAAAAGAUAUAACUAAGAACAAACUUUUUUGCCACUAGGCCCAACCCAUCAUGUGAGGAACUUAUAUUAGUAUCUGGUUUGUGCAUAGUAAAACCCUAAUCUAAGUAGCAGCCCGCCUCCCCACAUCCCUUCUCAUCAUCUUGGUUCCAUCUCACCCUAAUCAAGGUAUCACUGAGUCCUCUCCCGAUCUCUUUGUUGAACCCUCUCUGGAUCUCUUCUGAUCUCAUUGGUUACUCCAGAUCUCUUUGGUGAGCCCUAUGUGGAUGUGGAUCUCUUCUGAUCUCAUGGGUGGUGGUAAACAUGUCUGUUAGUGGUUUUUCAUUUCAGUAGCUAGAUUUGACCUUUGGUGUAUCUUUUGCUUAAUGAUUGUAUAUUUAGGCUAAACAUAUAUGAUGAAUUUGUUGUGAUCUCUAUUCCUCAUAUAUUUCAUAUAAGACCUUCAUUUAAUUGAAUUUUAAUUUUAAUAUAUUAUAUUCAUAAAUUGAUGAAUUUAUUAUGAAAUAUUUGUUAGACUUUUAUUUAAAUGAAAAAAAUACUAAAAGAAUAUGAAUAAUGAUUCUUUGCAUCAUUAUACACUAUCCAAAACUGCAAUAGUAGUGAAAACUUUUUAUUUUUAUGUCCACUAUGCAAGCAAAAUAGAUCACAUAAGUGAAUAAGGAGUCUAUGAAUGUGUUAUAUAUAUAGUGUAUUUAAUAAUUUUUCACUUAUUUUUAUUGUGUUGAAUUUUUGUGCUAUUACAUUUGAAUAUUGCACCUUCAACAUUUUAAUAUACACGUGGCUAAUUAUUUUUUUGCAGCAACUCUCCUCAUAUAGGUGAUGAUAAACAAUGAAGAAAAUGCUCCAGUAUUCUCUAAAUUAAUUAUAUUCUCCAGGUAGUAUAACAUAAACUUUUUGUUAUAACAUUACAACAGUAAUAUAUUUUUUGUACCUUAAUUAAUAGUAUUCAUACUUUGUUGUGUAGAUUUAUUAAGAUAUUAUAGUUAGGUACACCGUACAUGUGGCUUGGAGAAGUUAACUAAACAGUAAAUUCAUAGGAUUAAGAUAACACAACUACUCAACUUUGAAGAUAUAAAAAUUUAGUAAGUUUAUAAUUAAAUUUGAAUGAAACUAUCUAAUUAAGCAAUUACAGGACUUGGAGAUGAUUAGAAAAUAUUUUACAUAGGUAAUUUAAAAGGUAAUCUAAGUUCAACCCAAAUUAAAAUCUGAGCACUUGCAACAAAGCUAGACGGCUUAAACAGGUAUUGUUGUCUUGUUUUUGAAGGUGUUACGGAAUGAGACUAUCCUGAUAGAUCGGGAUUUGAAGCCUGAAUCCAGAGAAAUUUUAUCAAAAGAAAAUGCUCCUAAUUGCAUUUUAAGAUUCGAGCUCACUUACCGAGAAUCUUCUCUUAAACAUUCACUUCUUUCCUGAACUAGGUUUUGAGGUUUAAACCAUGUUAAGACAUAAUAUAAGAGGUGCAAAUUAUGUUUCUUCUUUCCACCUUUUCAGUGAUCUUCUUUAGCGGAAAAAUAUUGUUCUUAGUAUGUCAUAUAAUUAAAAAGGAAUUUUUAACGCAGUGACUUACUUUUUAUUAGAAAUUGUUCUUUAGUUUUGUCUUCUAGGUACAUUUAAGUUUUAACCCCAGGUUGAACUUGGUAGUAACGUGUUAUAAUGUACUACCCUUUGGUAGAAGAUGAUGUCUUUAUUUCUUAUCGUAUAGAUAGUUGUGCUUUCUGUUUAACUCUAAGACUUUUAUUUAAAUGAAAAAAAUACUAAAAGAAUAUGAAUAAUGAUUCUUUGCAUCAUUAUACACUAUCCAAAACUGCAAUAGUAGUGAAAACUUUUUAUUUUUAUGUCCACUAUGCAAGCAAAAUAGAUCACAUAAGUGAAUAAGGAGUCUAUGAAUGUGUUAUAUAUAUAGUGUAUUUAAUAAUUUUUCACUUAUUUUUAUUGUGUUGAAUUUUUGUGCUAUUACAUUUGAAUAUUGCACCUUCAACAUUUUAAUAUACACGUGGCUAAUUAUUUUUUUGCAGCAACUCUCCUCAUAUAGGUGAUGAUAAACAAUGAAGAAAAUGCUCCAGUAUUCUCUAAAUUAAUUAUAUUCUCCAGGUAGUAUAACAUAAACUUUUUGUUAUAACAUUACAACAGUAAUAUAUUUUUUGUACCUUAAUUAAUAGUAUUCAUACUUUGUUGUGUAGAUUUAUUAAGAUAUUAUAGUUAGGUACACCGUACAUGUGGCUUGGAGAAGUUAACUAAACAGUAAAUUCAUAGGAUUAAGAUAACACAACUACUCAACUUUGAAGAUAUAAAAAUUUAGUAAGUUUAUAAUUAAAUUUGAAUGAAACUAUCUAAUUAAGCAAUUACAGGACUUGGAGAUGAUUAGAAAAUAUUUUACAUAGGUAAUUUAAAAGGUAAUCUAAGUUCAACCCAAAUUAAAAUCUGAGCACUUGCAACAAAGCUAGACGGCUUAAACAGGUAUUGUUGUCUUGUUUUUGAAGGUGUUACGGAAUGAGACUAUCCUGAUAGAUCGGGAUUUGAAGCCUGAAUCCAGAGAAAUUUUAUCAAAAGAAAAUGCUCCUAAUUGCAUUUUAAGAUUCGAGCUCACUUACCGAGAAUCUUCUCUUAAACAUUCACUUCUUUCCUGAACUAGGUUUUGAGGUUUAAACCAUGUUAAGACAUAAUAUAAGAGGUGCAAAUUAUGUUUCUUCUUUCCACCUUUUCAGUGAUCUUCUUUAGCGGAAAAAUAUUGUUCUUAGUAUGUCAUAUAAUUAAAAAGGAAUUUUUAACGCAGUGACUUACUUUUUAUUAGAAAUUGUUCUUUAGUUUUGUCUUCUAGGUACAUUUAAGUUUUAACCCCAGGUUGAACUUGGUAGUAACGUGUUAUAAUGUACUACCCUUUGGUAGAAGAUGAUGUCUUUAUUUCUUAUCGUAUAGAUAGUUGUGCUUUCUGUUUAACUCUAGACUGUAUGUAAAAUUUACUUUUGGGGUCAUGUCUAGUUUAUGUGUACUCGUACGAUACAUUUUUUGGGUAGAUUGCAAAACCCUGAAGCACAAACCAAUUAUAAGCAUCACUGUUAUAGUAGCAACUGAAGGAUACAACUAAUAUUGUUAGAAGGAAAAGGGGAAGACCAAAGUAAGAAGUCCAAGAAACAGAUAGGUAGGGCUGUUCACGAACCGAGCCGAGCCGAGUUUUGACCGAGUCGAGCCGAGCUUUAAAUUUUUUCUUAUCGAACCGAGCCGAGUCGAGCUUUCUUAUCGAACAAAAAAGUGUGUUCGAGCUCGAGCUCGAUAACUAACGAGCCGAACACGAGCUUGUUCACGAACAAAUACGAGCCGAGUCGAGUCGAGUCGAGCCGAGCCGAGCUAGAGAAAAAUAAGGCCAAACCGCUACUUUACUCUUAAAAUAGCAAGCCAAAUAAAAUUUUUAGUAUGUUUUGAUGGUACCAUAUUAUAGUUGAUAUUCUCAUGAUCGAUUUGAUAUAUUAUAUGUUGAAUUCGGCGUUCAAUAACAUAUAUAUAUUACGAAAUUAUUAUGAAAAUAUUCUUUUUUUUCGAGCUUUAACGAGCCGAGCUCGAGCCGAACGAGUUCGAGCCGAGCUCGAGCCGAACAUACUAAAAGCUCGGCUCGAGCUCGUUUUCUUAACGAACAAUUUUUUGUGUUCGAGCUCGAGCUCGUUAACUUAACGAGCCGAGCCGAACGAGCUCUUAACGAGCCGAGCUCGAGCUUGUUCGCGAACAACUCGGUUCGUUAAACAGCUCUACAGAUAGGUUCGGUGAAAGAUAUUCUACCAGCACACACACAUAUAGAAUUAAAGAUAUUUUAGACGAAAUAUUUGUUGGAAACUAAUAUGUGUUUACUGUAUGGUGGGAAAUAUAAAACAGAAAUCUAAACACAAGCACACUAUUAUAUAUAUAUGAAAUAAGGUUAUGGCUUAAUUUUGCCUUACACAGAGUACUUAGGCUACAGCCUUUCUUGUUUCACAAACACAGAGCUUCUUCUUAGGCUACAGCCUUUCUUGUUUCACAAACACAGAGCUUCUGCUCUCUUUUUCUAUCUUGUUACAACAAGCUACUUGCGUCUAUUUAACGUACAUGCAUGAGGUUGUAUUUAUAGGAUACAAUACACACAGCUGACCUAAUUCCUUACAUCAACAUAAUAAACACCCUGCAGAUCCAAGAAAGAUAUUAACUUCAGCCUACCUUAUUUCUGGGUUGCAUCAAUGCAUAUACACCUGACCUUGUUGCCGUUUUUUGACUUCCACAAGCUUAGACUAUUAAUAUUAUCCUGCUUCAUUCUUAUCUAGCUGUAUAUAUAUAUUAUGGUUUAACUUUCCCAUGCAUGUACAUCUGUUAUUUUAAUCCUGCUAGCUGUAUUUGACUAGAUUGCUGCUUGCUUCCAUUUAUAUCCCAGAAGACCUGGAAUCUAUUGUGCUGCAUUUACCUCUGCUGCAUGCUUACUAUUCAAACCAAUUUGUUAUAAUUAAUGUAUUGCUAGCUGGAGAGUUUGAAAUUCUAACAAUAUUUUUCUGUACGUAGGUAAGAGAAGCACAGGAGGUAAUGUGGAUAUGAAAGUGAAAUCCAGUGCAGAGAACAACUUUGUAACAACUGUUGUUGAAAUACCCAAAAAAGGUGAUUUUCAGCCUACUAUACCUAGCAAGGAACCUGGGAAACAUGUGUAUAAGAGAAGUAAAGUUCAUCAGCAGAAUGGUGUGCAAGUCAAAAUUCUUGACAGUGAAUGACACUAUCAAGGUAUGUGCUGGAACUUAUUUCAUAUUAGAUACAUGCAAGUAAUUAUUUAGCUGAAGACCAUUCUUUGCAUGUGAUUUUUUAUGCGCUUUUUAAUUGCUGGAAGAUGUUGAGGAAAAAUAUAUCUGUAACUACUAUAAUAGUCUAUUUGGUCCAGUUUAUUUUGUGGCAGUUAGAUUAACCAUUAUCAAUAAUUCAUUUCAUGAUUUUCAGCUUUUCUAUUUGUAUUUUACGGCUAUGAAAAUUCUACUACUGCUAUUGUAUUGGUAACAGAAAGUUUUGUUAUUUUUUGAAGUAGUUCUGUCUGUAAACAGACAAGAUGAUCCCGAAACUCCUCCAUUUAAUCAAGAGAAUGCAAUGGAGUCCGCUCCACUUCAGAAAAAGGAUGGUCCGGGUAAGCUCAUUGACUGAACUAUAAUUGUGAUAUUAUGAUCUGGAAUCUUGUUAUGUUAUCCAUGAAAUUUACCUGUUAAAAAUCUCAAUCAACAUGCUGCAUCAAUUGAUAUAGGUGGUGGAGUUGGAACCCCUGCCAUUGUAGGCAUUGAUGCUAUGGAGAACGAACAGAGUUUGCCAUUUGUUAAGAAUCCUCUACUUUGGGAAGAUAUCCAUUCUAUGGAAACCUAUAAGAAAAUGACACAGAAGCCACACUUCGCUCCACUGUACGAACAUAUAGAAGAAGAACGUGAAGGCUUGGCAGUAGUGUUGGAAACGUGAUGGGUUUAGGCUUUAUCAACUUUGUAAAUUCAAAAUACACACGCCUGUAUAAUAAAACAAACAACAGAAAUUUUAUUUCAUAAACUCAAAGCUACAGCUUGAUUAGAACUUCGGCUCUUUAAUUUGUUUUCUUUUUCUGGUUUUCAAA
rnacentral:lncRNA from 1 species